UACCUCAGUAACGGCGAGUGAAGCGGUAACAGCUCAAAUUUGAAAGCUAGCUCUUUUAGGGUUCGCAUUGUAAUUUGUAGAAGAUGCUUCGGGUGUGGCCCCGGUCUAAGUUCCUUGGAACAGGACGUCAUAGAGGGUGAGAAUCCCGUAUGUGACUGGGUGCUUUCGCUCAUGUGAAGCUCUUUCGACGAGUCGAGUUGUUUGGGAAUGCAGCUCAAAAUGGGUGGUAAAUUUCAUCUAAAGCUAAAUAUUGGCCAGAGACCGAUAGCGCACAAGUAGAGUGAUCGAAAGAUGAAAAGCACUUUGGAAAGAGAGUUAAACAGUACGUGAAAUUGUUGAAAGGGAAGCGCUUGCAACCAGACUUGCGCGCUGAUGAUCAUCCGGGCUUCUGUCCGGUGCACUCGUCUGCGCUCAGGCCAGCAUCGGUUUCGGUGGUGGGAUAAAGGCCUUGGGAAUGUAGCUCCUCUCGGGGAGUGUUAUAGCCCUCGGUGCAAUGCCGCCUACCGGGACCGAGGACCGCGCUUCGGCUAGGAUGCUGGCGUAAUGGUUGUAAGCGACCCGUCUUGAAACACGGACCAAGGAGUCUAACAUCUAUGCGAGUGUUUGGGUGUCAAACCCAUACGCGUAAUGAAAGUGAACGGAGGUGAGAACCCUUAAGGGUGCAUCAUCGACCGGUCCUGAUGUCUUCGGAUGGAUCUGAGUAAGAGCAUAGCUGUUGGGACCCGAAAGAUGGUGAACUAUGCGUGAAUAGGGUGAAGCCAGAGGAAACUCUGGUGGAGGCUCGCAGCGGUUCUGACGUGCAA
rnacentral:rRNA from 1 species